rnacentral:tRNA from 2 species
ACGCAGUGUGCUCAAACUGUGCUCAAUUUCUUCGAAGCUGGAUACAAGUCAAUACCCGCAAGGGUUUGACGCUAAUGAGCAUCGGCCUUCUAAGCCGAGGGGCGGGGGUUCGAGUCCCUCCUGCCGUGCCA